GAUGAAGAACGCAGCGAAAUGCGAUAAGUAAUGUGAAUUGCAGAAUUCAGUGAAUCAUCGAAUCUUUGAACGCACAUUGCGCCCGCCAGUAUUCUGGCGGGCAUGCCUGUUCGAGCGUCAUUUCAACCAUCAAGCCCCCGGCUUGUGUUGGGGACCUGCGGCUGCCGCAGGCCCUGAAAACCAGUGGCGGGCUCGCUAGUCACUCCGAGCGUAGUAAUACAUCUUGCUCAGGGCGUGCUGCGGGUUCCGGCCGUUAAAAGCCUUAUUUACCCAAGGUUGACCUCGGAUCAGGUAGGAAGACCCGCUGAACUUAAGCAUAUCAAUAAGCGGAGGA
rnacentral:misc_RNA from 1 species